GACGAAUGCUGGCGGCGUGCUUAACACAUGCAAGUCGAGCGGCAGCGCGGGGCAACCUGGCGGCGAGCGGCGAACGGGUGAGUAAUACAUCGGAACGUACCCAGUUGUGGGGGAUAGCCCGGCGAAAGCCGGAUUAAUACCGCAUACGACCUGCGGGUGAAAGCGGGGGAUCGGAAGAACUCGCGCAGUUGGAGCGGCCGAUGGAGGAUUAGCUAGUUGGUGGGGUAAAGGCUCACCAAGGCGACGAUCCUUAGCGGGUCUGAGAGGACGACCAGCCACACUGGUACUGAGACACGGUUCAGACUCCUACGGGAGGCAGCAGUGGGGAAUUUUGGACAAUGGGGGAAACCCUGAUCCAGCCAUUCCGCGUGAGUGAAGAAGGCCUUCGGGUUGUAAAGCUCUUUCGGCAGGAACGAAACGGCGAGCUCUAACAUAGCUUGCUAAUGACGGUACCUGAAGAAGAAGCACCGGCUAACUACGUGCCAGCCGCCGCCGUAA
rnacentral:rRNA from 1 species